GAUGAACGCUAGCGGCAGGCCUAAUACAUGCAAGUCGAACGGGAUCCAGAUCAAAGCUUGCUUUGGUCUGGUGAGAGUGGCGCACGGGUGCGUAACGCGUGAGCAACCUACCCUUGUCAGGGGGAUAGCCCGGCGAAAGUCGGAUUAAUACCGCAUGACAUCAUUGAGAGGCAUCUUUCGAUGAUCAAAGAUUUAUCGGACAAGGAUGGGCUCGCGUGACAUUAGCUAGUUGGUAAGGUAACGGCUUACCAAGGCUGCGAUGUCUAGGGGCUCUGAGAGGAGAAUCCCCCACACUGGUACUGAGACACGGACCAGACUCCUACGGGAGGCAGCAGUAAGGAAGAUUGGUCAAUGGACGGAAGUCUGAACCAGCCAUGCCGCGUGCAGGAGGACGGCCCUAUGGGUUGUAAACUGCUUUUAUACGGGAACAAACGUCGGUACGUGUACCGGUCUGAGUGUACCGUAAGAAUAAGGAUCGGCUAACUCCGUG
rnacentral:rRNA from 1 species